rnacentral:rRNA from 1 species
CCUACGGGUGGCAGCAGUGAGGAAUAUUGGUCAAUGGUCGGGAGACUGAACCAGCCAAGCCGCGUGAGGGAUGAAGGUACAGAGUAUCGUAAACCUCUUUUGUCAGGGAACAAAGGCGCGGACGUGUCCCCGGAUGAGUGUACCUGAAGAAAAAGCAUCGGCUAACUCCGUGCCAGCAGCCGCGGUAAUACGGAGGAUGCGAGCGUUAUCCGGAUUUAUUGGGUUAAAAGGGUGCGCAGGCGGUCUGUUAAGUCAGCGGGAAAAGCCCGGGGCACACCCCGGGCCCGCCGUUGAAACUGGCAGCAUGGAGUUGGAGAGAGGGAUGCGGAAUGCGCGGUGUAGCGGUGAAAUGCAUAGAUAUCGCGCAGAACUCCGAUUGCGAAGGCAGCAUGCCGGCUCCAGACUGACGCUGAGGCACGAAAGCGUGGGUAUCGAACAGGAUUAGAUACCCUAGUAGUC